rnacentral:lncRNA from 1 species
GGUGAUUGGUGGUGGCGUGCUGGCGAGCGAGACGGAGGCUCCGGCGGAGGAGCUUGAGCUCGCCGAGGCCACGGAAGACGAACGACUGCUCCAGGUAGAGUCGAGACUUUUCUUGGUUGGAUGUAGCAACGCCUAGCUCUUUAUGGAUUUCAGCCAGCGUCGAGACGUAGUCCACGGGCUUGAAGUUCGGAUUGAUGGGUGGAUCUGCGAGCUUCGGAAGAAACAUGCUGGAGGAAGGAAAACAAUCACAAUCAAAAAGAGCGAAGAACAAGGUGAGAAUUUGUCUAUCCAUUGAGAGAGCGGAGAGAGCUUACCUUUGGGAGGAGUCCUUUUGAUGGACAGGCUUCGAUGCCGCUGUUGGUGCUGGCUUCUCCGACGAUGCGACAUGGAGGAUGUGGAUAUCCUUGCAAAUUCCCAUUGCUGCGAAAGCACAGCCAAAGAAAUGCUGCUCUGCUCGCUCAC